GGAUCAGAGAUUCUGGUCUCUAAUUCAGAACCUGGAUCAGGGUCUUUAAUUCCAGAACCUGGAUCAGAGAUUCUGGUCUGUAAUCCAGAACCUGGAUCAGAGACCACCACACAGGAGAGCUUCCAGCUGAAGAUCCAAACAGGAAAAGAUUUUGUUCCAUAACUUCAGGAGGAACCGGUCCAGCAGUUGAACCCUUUCCAGAAUAUAUUCAUAGAUGAGGAGAACUUCAGACCAGAACCGUCUGGACCUCCUGCUGUCAUUUCUCCUGACAUGAAGCUCCUGAAGCUCUGACCUCUGUCUCCUCAGAGUUCUUCAUCUUACCCGCUCCACCAAAGUCCUCAGACCUCUCAGGCCUGACAGUGAAACUCAAGCCGUCAGACGACUGGGACGAGUCCAGAUGGAGGAACCACCUGAGCUGUAAGGACGAAUGCGUCUCCGGCUGUGGGAGGGAAGAGCCGGGCGUUCUGUCCGACUCGGAGAAUGAGGAACCGAUCAGCCGCAGGAUCAGGAACAUCUCGGCCUUCAUCAGGAAAACCAAGACUUCUUCAGCCCUGAGCAGGUGAU